AACGAACGCUGGCGGCAGGCUUAACACAUGCAAGUCGAGCGCCCCGCAAGGGGAGCGGCAGACGGGUGAGUAACGCGUGGGAACGUGCCCUUUGGUUCGGAACAACUCCGGGAAACUGGAGCUAAUACCGGAUAAGCCCUUCGGGGGAAAGAUUUAUCGCCAAAGGAUCGGCCCGCGUCUGAUUAGCUAGUUGGUGAGGUAAUGGCUCACCAAGGCGACGAUCAGUAGCGGGGCUGAGAGGAUGAGCAGCGACACUGGGACUGAGACACGGCCAAGACUCCUGCCGGAGGCAGCAGUGGAGAUUAUUGGACAAUGGGCGCAAGCCUGUUCCAGCCAUGCCGCGUGAGUGAUGAAGGCCUUAGGGUUGUAAAGCUCUGUUGUCCGGGAAGAUAAUGACUUUACCGGAAGAAUAAGCCCCGGCUAACUUCGUGCCAGCCGCCGCCGGAAAAC
rnacentral:rRNA from 1 species